GAUCAUUAACGAAGCAUUAGAAAGGUUGUAGCUGCCUUGAAAGAGGAUGUGCACGCCUUUUAAAUCUUCUAUUUACCACCUGUGAACUCUUGCGGAGAUCGUGAUAACUCUCACAUGAAAAUUGUGGAUUAGUAGGCUUGCUAAGUGCUUGCUUACGAUUUCGCGGUCUCUUGCUUUUACACACACUUUAAAAGUUUUGAAUGUUGAUUUACGGAUUGUAAUGAUCUGUAAUAAUUUAAAUACAACUUUCAGCAACGGAUCUCUUGGCUCUCGCAUCGAUGAGGAACGCAGCGAAAUGCGAUAACUAAUGUGAAUUGCAGAAUUCAGUGAAUCAUCGAGUCUUUGAACGCACCUUGCACCCUUUGGUAUUCCGAAGGGUAUGCCUGUUUGAGUGUCAUUAAAUUCUCAAACUCACUAUGUUUCUUUUGAAACGUAUUGGGCUUUGGAUGUGGGGGUUGCAGGCUUUAACGAGUCGGCUCCUCUUAAAUGCAUUAGUGGCUUGUCGAUCCCCAUUAAAUGGUGUGAUAGUAAUAUCUGCAUCAUAACUAAUGGCUAGGUCAUGCAAUGGCAAUUUGAAGCUGCUUUCUAACGGUCUUCGGACAAUUCGAACCAUUUGACCUCAAAUCAGGUAGGACUACCCGCUGAACUUAAGCAUAUCAAUAAGCGGAGGAAAAGAAACUAACAAGGAUUCCCCUAGUAACUGCGAGUGAAGCGGGAAAAGCUCAAAUUUAAAAUCUGGCGGCUCCGUCGUCCGAGUUGUAAUUUAGAGAAGUGUUACCCGUGCUGGACCGUGCACAAGUCUCCUGGAAUGGAGCGUCAUAGAGGGUGAGAAUCCCGUCUUUGGCACGGACUCCCAGUGCAUUGUGGUGCGCUCUCGAAGAGUCGAGUUGUUUGGGAAUGCAGCUCAAAAUGGGUGGUAAAUUCCAUCUAAAGCUAAAUAUUGGGGAGAGACCGAUAGCGAACAAGUACCGUGAGGGAAAGAUGAAAAGAACUUUGGAAAGAGAGUUAAACAGUACGUGAAAUUGCUGAAAGGGAAACGCUUGAAGUCAGUCGCGUCGUUCGGGAUUCAGCCUUGCUUUUGCUUGGUGUACUUCCUGUUCGACGGGUCAGCAUCAGUUUUGGCCGGUGGAUAAGGGCUCAGAGAAUGUGGCACCUUCGGGUGUGUUAUAGCUUUGGGUCGCAUACAUCGGCUGGGACUGAGGAACUCAGCACGCCGCAAGGCCGGGUU
rnacentral:rRNA from 1 species